GAGAUAGCUGGUUCUCCCCGAAAUAGCUUUAGGGCUAGCGUUAUGUUAGAUUACCGGAGGUAAAGCACUGAAUGGGCUAGGGGCUGAUAAAGUUACUGAACCCUAUCAAACUCAGAAUGCCGGCUAAUUGAUGCAUAGCAGUCAGACUACGUGAGAUAAGUCUCGUGGUCAAAAGGGAAACAGCCCAGACCCACAGCUAAGGUCCCAAAUAAUUGCUAAGUGGAAAACGAUGUGAGAUUGCCCAGACAACCAGGAUGUUGGCUUAGAAGCAGCCACACAUUAAAAGAGUGCGUAAUAGCUCACUGGUCGAGUGGUCUUGCGCGGAAAAUAUAACGGGGCUAAGCAGUUAACCGAAGCUUGGGCUUGCCGAAGGCAGGGGUAGGGGAGCGUCGAAUACGGGGUGAAGUCGCAGCGGGAGCAGCGGUGGACUGUAUUCGAGUGAGAAUGCCGGAAUGAGUAGCGAGAAUUAUGUGGGAAUCAUAAUGGCCGAAAAUCUAAGGUUUCCUGGGGAAGGUUCGUCCGCCCAGGGUUAGCCGGGAGCUAAGGCGAGGCCGCGAGGCGUAGUCGAUGCACAUACGGUUGAAAUUCCGUAGCCACCUUAUCGAAUGAAAGCUGACACUUGGAAAUAGCGGGACCCGGAGAUUGGUAGAUCCGGGCGUAAGGGACCGAACACGAGUAGGGAAGUCCGCGAUGUUCUGAGGCGAGAAAAGGCGAAGGUAGGGUGCCCGUACCGCAAACCGACACAGGUAGAUGAGGAGAGAAUCCUAAGGCCAACGGGAGAAGGGUUGUUAAGGAACUCGGCAAAAUGACCCCGUAACUUCGGGAUAAGGGGAGCCUGCGCGAGCAGGCCGCAGAGAAUAGGCCCAAGCGACUGUUUACCAAAAACACAGGUCUAUGCUAAAUCGAAAGAUGACGUAUAUGGGCUGACGCCUGCCCGGUGCUGGAAGGUUAAGAGGAGAUGUCAGGCAACGAAGCAUUGAAUCGAAGCCCCAGUAAACGGCGGCCGUAACUAUAACGGUCCUAAGGUAGCGAAAUUCCUUGUCAGGUAAGUUCUGACCCGCACGAAUGGCGUAACGAUUUGGGCGCUGUCUCAACAGCCCACCCGGCGAAAUUGUUGUACUGGUGAAGAAGCCAGUUACCCGCAACUAGACGGAAAGACCCCAUGGAGCUUUACUGCAGCUUAAUACUGGAAUUCGGUAAUUCAUGUACAGGAUAGGUGGGAGACAUGGAAGUACGGUCGUCAGGCCGUAUGGAGUCGCCCUUGGGAUACCACUCUUGGAUUGCUGGGUUUCUAACCUGCGGCCGUGAAUCCGGUCGGGGGACACUGUUAGGCAGACAGUUUGACUGGGGCGGUCGCCUCCUAAAAGGUAACGGAGGCGCUCAAAGGUUGGCUCAGCACGGACGGAAAUCGUGCGGUGAGUGUAAACGUAUAAGCCAGCCUAACUGCGAGAGUGACGGCUCGAGCAGUAACGAAAGUUGGAGUUAGUGAUCCGGUGGUAUGUGAGUGGAAAUGCCAUCGCUCAACGGAUAAAAGCUACCCUGGGGAUAACAGGCUGAUCUCCCCCAAGCGUCCACAGCGACGGGGAGGUUUGGCACCUCGAUGUCGGCUCGUCACAUCCUGGGGCUGUACUCGGUCCCAAGGGUUCGGCUGUUCGCCGAUUAAAGUGGCACGCGAGCUGGGUUCAGAACGUCGUGAGACAGUUCGGUCCCUAUCUGUUGCGGGCGUAAGAGAUUUGAAGGGGGCUGUCCUUAGUACGAGAGGACCGGGAUGGACGCACCUCUGGUGCACCUGUUGUCGUGCCAACGGCAUAGCAGGGUAGCUAAGUGCGGACGAGAUAAACGCUGAAAGCAUCUAAGCGUGAAACUUUCCCUAAGAUAAGAUCUCUCAUCCUUCG
rnacentral:rRNA from 1 species